GACGAACGCUGGCGGCGUGCCUAAUACAUGCAAGUCGAACGCAGGGGGGACGGGGGAGUAACCCGUGGGUAACCUCCCAUCAGAGGGGAUAACACGUGGAAACAGGUGCUAAACCGAUAAUGCUGGAUGGACUCGCGGGUCAUUAGGGAGUUGGCAGGGUAACGGCUCACCAAGGCAACGAUGCAUAGCCUGCCUGAGAGGGUGAUCGGCCACACUGGAACUGAGACACGGCCCAGACUCCUACGUGAGGCAGCAGUAGGGAAUCUUCGGCAAUGGACGAAAGUCUGACCGAGCAACGCCGCGUGAGUGAAGAAGGUUUUCGGAUCGUAAAACUCUGUUGUUAGGGAAGCGGUAUCUAACCAGAAAGCCACGGCUAACUACGUGCCAGCAGCCGCGGUAAUUC
rnacentral:rRNA from 1 species